rnacentral:tRNA from 1 species
GCUUAAAUGACUUAUAUUUAGAGUAUAACAUUGAAGAUGUUAGUGAGAUUAUUAAUCUUUAGGUA